AAUGGACGAAAGUCUGACGCAGCAACGCCGCGUGUGGGAUGAAGCUUCUUGGAGUGUAAACCACUGUCGGGAGGGACGAAUGAUUAUGGUUCUAAUAUAGCUAUAGUUUGACGGUACCUUCAAAGGAAGCUCCGGCUAACUCCGUGCCAGCAGCCGCGGUAAUACGGGGGGAGCAAGCGUUGUUCGGAAUCACUGGGCGUAAAGGGUGCGCAGGCGGGAGAUUAAGUCGGAUGUGAAAUCCUCGGGCUCAACCCGAGGCCUGCAUUUGAAACUGAUCUUCUUGAGUAUCGGAGAGGAAAGCGGAACUCCAGGUGUAGCGGUGAAAUGCGUAGAUAUCUGGAGGAACACCUGUGGCGAAGGCGGCUUUCUGGCCGAAUACUGACGCUCAUGCACGAAGGCUAGGGGAGCAAA
rnacentral:rRNA from 1 species